AAGUCGUAACAAGGUCUCCGUUGGUGAACCAGCGGAGGGAUCAUUACAGAGUUAGUCUAACUGCCCAAACCCCAUGUGAACUUACCCAUUGUUGCCUCGGGCAGAGCCUACCCCGGUACCCUUGAUGCCCUGGGAGCACGCUACCCCUUACGGUUAGGCUACCCCCUGGGAGCGGUUCUCCCUGAUAGCGGUUUUGCCAGGUGGCACUUCUAAACUAUUGUUAUUUUAUUGAUUUAUCUAGAGCGUCUUAAUUUUAAUGAAGUCAAAA
rnacentral:misc_RNA from 1 species